GUGCUUACUUCGGCAACACAUAUACUACAAUUGGAAUGACACAGAGAAGAUUAGCAUGGCCCCUGUGCAAGGAUGAAACGCAAAUUUGUGAAGCGUUCCGUACCUUU
ensembl:snRNA U6 U6 spliceosomal RNA